rnacentral:rRNA from 1 species
UACAGAGGGUGCAAGCGUUGCUCGGAAUCAUUGGGCGUAAAGGGCAGGUAGGUGGUCUGAUUUGUCUGGGGUGAAAGCCUUGAGCUUAACUCAAGAAGUGCCCCGGAAACGGUGAGACUGGAGUCCUGGAGAGGGUCGUGGAAUUCCCGGUGUAGCGGUGAAAUGCGUAGAGAUCGGGAGGAACACCAGAGGCGAAGGCGGCGACCUGGACAGGCACUGACACUCAACUACGAAAGCGUGGGGAGCAAACAGG